UGAAUAUACUAAGGCGCUUGAGUGAUUCACGGUUAAGGAACUAGGCAAAUUGACCCUGUAACUUCGGGAUAAAGGGUCCCAACGAGAGUUGGGCGCAGAGAAUAGGUCCAGGCAACUGUUUAACAAAAACACAGGGCUGUGCCAAAUUGAAAGAUUACGUAUACAGCCUGACACCUGCCCGGUGCUGGAAGGUUAAGAGGAGAUGUCAUCGCAAGAGAAGCAUUGAAUUGAAGCCCCAGUAAACGGCGGCCGUAACAAUAACGGUCCUAAGGUAGCGAAAUUCCUUGUCGGGUAAGUUCCGACCUGCACGAAUGGCGUAAUGAUGGCCAGGCUGUCUCCACCCGAGACUCAGUGAAAUUGAACUCGCUGUGAAGAUGCAGUGUACCCGCGGCAAGACGGAAAGACCCCGUGAACCUUUACUAUAGCUUGACACUGAACAUUGAGCCUUGAUGUGUAGGAUAGGUGGGAGGCUUUGAAGUGUGGACGCCAGUCUGCAUGGAGCCGACCUUGAAAUACCACCCUUUAAUGUUUGAUGUUCUAACGUUGACCCGUAAUCCGGGUUGCGGACAGUGUCUGGUGGGUAGUUUGACUGGGGCGGUCUCCUCCUAAAGAGUAACGGAGGAGCACGAAGGUUGGCUAAUCCUGGUCGGACAUCAGGAGGUUAGUGCAAUGGCAUAAGCCAGCUUGACUGCGAGCGUGACGGCGCGAGCAGGUGCGAAAGCAGGUCAUAGUGAUCCGGUGGUUCUGAAUGGAAGGGCCAUCGCUCAACGGAUAAAAGGUACUCCGGGGAUAACAGGCUGAUACCGCCCAAGAGUUCAUAUCGACGGCGGUGUUUGGCACCUCGAUGUCGGCUCAUCACAUCCUGGGGCUGAAGUAGGUCCCAAGGGUAUGGCUGUUCGCCAUUUAAAGUGGUACGCGAGCUGGGUUUAGAACGUCGUGAGACAGUUCGGUCCCUAUCUGCCGUGGGCGCUGGAGAACUGAGGGGGGCUGCUCCUAGUACGAGAGGACCGGAGUGGACGCAUCACUGGUGUUCGGGUUGUCAUGCCAAUGGCACUGCCCGGUAGCUAAAUGCGGAAGAGAUAAGUGCUGAAAGCAUCUAAGCACGAAACUUGCCCCGAGAUGAGUUCUCCCUGACUCCUUGAGAGUCCUGAAGGAACGUUGAAGACGACGACGUUGAUAGGCCGGGUGUGUAAGCGCAGCGAUGCGUUGAGCUAACCGGUACUAAUGAACCGUGAGGCUUAACGCA
rnacentral:rRNA from 1 species